ACGUUCUGUAAUUCUGUGAAGGUAAAGCUGUCAGGCUUGCUGGAGGAAUCAGAAGUGAUCAUGCUGACAUAAGUAACAUUAAAUCCAAGUGAUGGCCGCAAGUUCAAGGUUUUCUAUUUAAUAGAUUGAAUCGGCCCCUAAGCUUUGGCUACCUAAGG
rnacentral:rRNA from 1 species